GAUCUCAACUGGAAGGUAAAUCUAAACAGUGUUAUCAUUGAUAUCUAUAACCAAUUAAACUUUCAAUAUAUUACCAUUGCCAAAGCCACUAUUUAAUCAUUAUUUUAUUUAUUUAUUUAUUUUUAUUUAUUAUUGCUAUUUAUAAAGCGCACACAGAUUCCGCAGCGCUGUACAAUUAGUUGAGAAACGUACAAUAUACACAAACAAAUACAAGAGGUAAGAGAGCCCUGCCCGUAAGCUGAUAUCUAGCCAUUGGAGCUCUUUUAUACAAAGUGCUUAUCUAGAUGGCCCAUGAGCUUACAAUCUAAAGAAUACCAGGGGGAUUUGAGACAAGAGGUAGCAGGGGAAGUUUGGAGGUGAUGGCUGAAAGAGUUAACAGAGAAGCAGCUAUUGUUAAGAUGUUAAGGGAAUGAAGAGGUAAUUGGGUGAGAAUCUCAAACUGCUGGAGGAGCAUGCUAUAUAUUUAAGGGGAGCCUGGGUGGGUAGGAGGAGGGGAGGGUGGGUGGGAAGUGGGGAGAAACAAUGCAGUCUUCACUGAGUUGAUUGUGAAGUGUGGCCUGAGGAAUAGAGAUAGAACAGUCAGUGGCGUACAUACCAGGGUCUCAGGGGUCGCGGCUGCGACCGGGCCCGGCCCACCAGGGGGCCCGGCCGCCCCUGCGACCCGGUAUGUAGCCACAGGGCCAGCCUCUUCCCCUGGGGGGCCCAGGAGGCGGCCACCCCAGGGCCCCCCGAGGCUGGCCCUGCUG